rnacentral:rRNA from 1 species
CCUACGGGUGGCAGCAGUGAGGAAUAUUGGUCAAUGGACGAGAGUCUGAACCAACCAAGUAGCGUGAAGGAUGACUGCCCUAUGGGUUGUAAACUUCUUUUAUAUGGGAAUAAAACGUUCCACGUGUGGGAUUUUGUAUGUACCAUAUGAAUAAGGAUCGGCUAACUCCGUGCCAGCAGCCGCGGUAAUACGGAGGAUCCGAGCGUUAUCCGGAUUUAUUGGGUUUAAAGGGAGCGUAGGUGGAUUGUUAAGUCAGUUGUGAAAGUUUGCGGCUCAACCGUAAAAUUGCAGUUGAAACUGGCAGUCUUGAGUACAGUAGAGGUGGGCGGAAUUCGUGGUGUAGCGGUGAAAUGCUUAGAUAUCACGAAGAACUCCGAUUGCGAAGGCAGUUCACUGGACUGCAACUGGCACUGAGGCUCGAAAGUGUGGGUAUCAAACAGGAUUAGAUACCCGUGUAGUC